UGUGUGAUUUUGUUGUCAGCAUAUUCAACUAUGUAAUGAACAAAGUAUUUAAUAAGAAUAUUUCAUUCAUUUAGAUAUACGAUGUCUUAUUUUUAUGUUCCCUUUAUUUUUUUUUGAGCAGUAUAGUUUGCCUAUGUUACAUGCAAUUAAACGUCUCCCACUCCUGUUGACCGCUCUGUCUGUAUCAAAACAGCAAAUCAUUUUCAACGGCCCUGGCAACACUUGCCCGAUUCCAGCAUGGCGACGCUCCUCAAAGCGCUUCCCCUUCCCUCCGCUCAUAGGGCUAGGCCAGACCUCACUUCCGCUUGUGCAGCAGCCAUUUUGUCUUUCCGUUGAUCCGGCUGCCCGAGCUUCUUCCUCCCACCCGUCGCCGAGGACCGCGAAACUCCAGUUCCACCUCCUGGGGCCCGAUUCCUUCUGGACCCGAUGCUUCGGGUUUUUCUUUAUUUUAACCCUUCCCGUAAUUCCCCCUUUCCCCUUGUUUUCCCCUUCGCUCGCUCCGAGUGGUCUCCUUUCUAACACCUGUGAUAGGAGACACCACCCACCCACCCGCGACGCCUGCUUCUCUUCUUCGGAGAGUUCCCUCGCGUCUCUUCCGCGGGGGACCCGGGUUCAACCUCAUCCCACCCCCCAAAACAGAGCUGGACCCGCAUCGGACUCUCUCAGCGGCUGAAGUGCCCCCCCAGCCCGCCUCCUAAGCUGACCAGGGGGCGUCCGCCGGCUGCCACUCACCUCCCCGCCCGCCAUGUCGAGCGAGGAGAGCUACUUGGCCAUCCUGCGCUAUUUGACCAACGAGCGCGAGCCUUACGCGCCGGGUACCGAGGGCAACGUCAAGCGCAAGAUCCGCAAGGCCGCCGCCUGCUAUGUGGUCCGCGGCGGGACCCUCUUCUACCAGCGCCGGCAGCGGGACCAGCAAAGCUUCGCCGAGCUCGAAGUGGUGCUGCAGGCCGAGCGUCGCGGCCGCCUCAUUCGGGCAGCCCAUCUGGAAACUGACGGCUCCCACCGGACCCGCUUGCAGACUUGGCAGCGCCUCUCCAGGCGCUAUUGGUGGCGAGGUAUCCUGAAGCAAGUUAAAGAUUAUAUUAAAGAAUGUAGCAAAUGCCAGGAAAAAUUAGAUCGUUCUAGAUCACUGUCAGACCCUUCUGAAAUGCUGGAAGAGCUAGGAUUGGAUGCAGUUUCUCAUGAAGAUAGUAAUGAAACAGACGAUGAAAUAAAUAAUUCCACGUCACUGCCAGCAGCAUCACCAAAACCAGUGAAAAAGAAACCAAUAGCCAAGCAUGAACUUGUAUUUGUUGAUAGUAAAGGCCUUGUGAAACAAUCUUCUCCAAAACAUUCUCAAUCAGUUUUGAAUCAGUUGAACCAACAGCGGCUUUCUAGUCAGUUCUGUGAUGUUACCUUGCUUAUUGAGGGAGAAGUGUACAAAGCACACAAAUCUAUUUUGGCAGCCAACAGUGAAUACUUCAGAGAACUUUUUAUUGAAAAGGGAGCUGUUUCCAGCCAUGAAGCAGUAGUAGAUCUUUCAGGAUUUCGGAAGGCCAGUUUCCUCCCUUUGCUAGAAUUUGCUUAUACUUCAGAAUUAGUUUUUGAUUUUUGUAACAUGGCAGCUGUAGCUGAGCUAGCUCAGCAUCUUCUCAUGACAGAGGUUUUGGCAAUCUGUGAAAAUGUACACAAGCAGAUGGAAGAUAAACAAAUCACCGUAUAUCAAAAAGGAGAUGUACAAGUAGUAGAGGUAGCUCAAACUAUUUCAGAGCAGAAUGAAAUUGAAGCUAAUCCUGUUGCCAGCACUGAGCAAGCAAUAGCUACCGAAGAUCCAGGAGCAACGGUGAAUGGAACAUCUUCAAAUACUGAGGCAGAAGAGAUGACUGUGUGUGAAACUGCAUUGGAAAUUGUUUCAGAGCCUCCUGCAAAGAAUCUUCCUGAGCUCCCGGUCGAUACUCCUGCUUUGGAAACAACAGAAAAUGAAGAGAAAGCCCCAGUAGUGGAAUGUUCCACAAAUCAAACUAUAACUGUGGUACAAACUGAACCUUCAGUAGCAGAGCAAGUUAUUAUUAGUACUCAGGCUGAAAAUGAGGCUGAUCAAAAUAUGAAUGGAGAUCCAAAUGUGAACAGCGAACUUAACGUGAGCAGCAAAGCAAAUGCAGAAGUUGAUGUUGAGGAUUCCCAGGAAGGGCUUAAGCGAAAACGUGGUCGGCCUUGUAAAAUGCAGGACAUUCCAGAAUCACAACCGGAGACCACAGCUCUUAGUCAAGAUGAUACUUAUAAAAGCAAGCUUCGCCAGCGAUCUGUUAGUGAGGGUGGCUAUAUUCGACUGCACAAGGGUACCGAAAAAAAGCUGCAGAACAGAAAGCCAGGCCCCAAAUCAGCUAUCCAGCAGGUUGCUAUGAAGCUAGUGCAAAGAGGCAAGAAGAUGAAGCAACCCAAAAGAGAGAUUAUAGAACACAGUGAGGCAGAAGCUCAGCACAAAUGCAGUGAAUGUGGGAUGAUUUUCCAGAGACGCUACGCUCUUAUAAUGCAUACAUUGAAGCAUGAGAGGACGAAAAAUUAUAAAUGCCCACUAUGCAAAAAAGAGUUCCAGUACGGUGCUUCACUGCGAGCUCACCUUGUUCGUCAUACCCAAAAAAAUGAAGUGACUGUUGCAACUGCUAAUAUAGAAGAAAGUGGUGCUGCCACGAAGGGAAGAACUAAGCGAGAAUUUAUCUGUGAUAUAUGUGGAAGAAGUUUGCCUAAACUCUAUUCUUUGCGAAUCCACAUGUUGAAACAUACAGGUGUAAAGCCACAUGCAUGUAAGAUUUGUGGAAAGUCAUUUACCUACAAACAUGGUUUAAAGAUGCACCUUGUGUUGCAUGAGGCACAAAAGCAGUUUAAGUGUGAAUUGUGUGACAAGUCCUUUGUCACAAAAAGAAGCCUUCAGGAGCAUGUAAGCAUUCACACAGGAGAAUCAAAAUACUUCUGUUCACACUGUGGAAAAUCUUUUCAUAGAGCUUCAGGACUUAGUAAACACUUAAAGAAACAUCAGCCCAAACCUGAAAUCCGUGGCUAUCAAUGCAACCAGUGUGAGAAAAGUUUCUAUGAACCUCGGGAUCUCCGCCAGCAUAUGAACAAACAUCUUGGAGUGAAACCUUUUCAAUGUCAAUUUUGUGGGAAAUGCUAUAGUUGGAAGAAAGAUUGGUAUUCUCAUGUAAAAUCACAUUCUGUUACUGAUCCAUACAGGUAAACAAAGCUGGGUUCUCUUGGCUGCAAAUACUUAGAUUUAAAUGAAAACUUUAAAUGAAAGCUUUAUGUAACCUGUAAUUUUGUGGUGGGAUAACUUAAAUGCAAAAAAACAUCAUACCCGAUUUACUGAAAAAAGCUCAUUUUAUUUUGCCUCAAUAUUUUGUUUUGAUUUUUUUUUAAUUAGGCAACCUAUUUACCAAUUUAUUCAAUUCCAAAUUCUACCAGAGUUUAUAUCACUGUAUAAAUCUGAUUAUAUCCAUCAAUCUGUUUGUAGACAUAGACAUUCAGUAUUGAGCUUUUGAAUUAUUAAGAACUCUUGGUAGGGCAGAACUCUUUGCAACAGAAAAUUAAAAAGAUGAUGAAUUGUAAGUGGAUAAUGAGCUAUGAGAUUACAUAAGAAGUCCACAAGACUCUAGUUCUAGUAUUUCACUUUUGCUUGCAGGUUGGAGAGCUAUUUUUGAACUACAUCAGCUCCGAUAUACUGUAUCAUUCCAGUAGUUAUCAUUGCUUACAUUUAAAAUGUUUUUUACUAAAAUGUUUGUUUAGUAAAGUUAGCUAUCAUGGAAUAUAAAAAAGGUUUUCCUUAAGGUUUUUCCAGUUUGGAAAAUAGUAAAAGAUUCUUAUUUAUGCUCCAGUUGACUUUCAAAAAAUGCUUAAUUUGUUUUUCCAUAAAAUCCAAUAUUAAGGUCACUACGUGAGCAGGGAUGUUGGACUAAAUCUCUAAGAUCUCUUCCAAUUCUGUUAUUCUUCUAAAAUUUCAUAAUGUCUUCAAACCAGAAGAUACCAGUGAAAGAAUAAAAAUGUAAAAGAAAUUUCUCUCUUUAAUAUUGUAAGCCAUCUGAUCAUUUGGAGUUGGAUAACCUCUAACGCUAAUAAAAUCAAUCAGUCAAUAGUUCUUGGAAUUUGGGAAAUCAAUGAUACAUUAUUUAUUCUUAUUAAUCACCAGUGACAGUCAUCUUGGUGUUUUGAAGCUAAAAGGAAAAACAGUUGAUAUGAUGCAAUGUGUGUGGCAAAGAGUUCUAUGAAAAAGCUUUGUACAGGAGGCAUGUUAAAAAAGCCACUCAUGGGAAGAAAGGGAGAG